rnacentral:rRNA from 1 species
GGGUUGUGAGGUUAAGCGACUAAGCGUACACGGUGGAUGCCCUGGCAGUCAGAGGCGAUGAAGGACGUGCUAAUCUGCGAUAAGCGUCGGUAAGGUGAUAUGAACCGUUAUAACCGGCGAUUUCCGAAUGGGGAAACCCAGUGUGAUUCGUCACACUAUCAUUAACUGAAUCCAUAGGUUAAUGAGGCGAACCGGGGGAACUGAAACAUCUAAGUACCCCGAGGAAAAGAAAUCAACCGAGAUUCCCCCAGUAGCGGCGAGCGAACGGGGAGCAGCCCAGAGCCUGAAUCAGUGUGUGUGUUAGUGGAAGCGUCUGGAAAGGCGCGCGAUACAGGGUGACAGCCCCGUACACAAAAAUGCACAUAUUGUGAGCUCGAUGAGUAGGGCGGGACACGUGGUAUCCUGUCUGAAUAUGGGGGGACCAUCCUCCAAGGCUAAAUACUCCUGACUGACCGAUAGUGAACCAGUACCGUGAGGGAAAGGCGAAAAGAACCCCGGCGAGGGGAGUGAAAAAGAACCUGAAACCGUGUACGUACAAGCAGUGGGAGCACGCUUCGGCGUGUGACUGCGUACCUUUUGUAUAAUGGGUCAGCGACUUAUAUUCUGUAGCAAGGUUAACCGAAUAGGGGAGCCGAAGGGAAACCGAGUCUUAACUGGGCGUUAAGUUGCAGGGUAUAGACCCGAAACCCGGUGAUCUAGCCAUGGGCAGGUUGAAGGUUGGGUAACACUAACUGGAGGACCGAACCGACUAAUGUUGAAAAAUUAGCGGAUGACUUGUGGCUGGGGGUGAAAGGCCAAUCAAACCGGGAGAUAGCUGGUUCUCCCCGAAAGCUAUUUAGGUAGCGCCUCGUGAAUUCAUCUCCGGGGGUAGAGCACUGUUUCGGCAAGGGGGUCAUCCCGACUUACCAACCCGAUGCAAACUGCGAAUACCGGAGAAUGUUAUCACGGGAGACACACGGCGGGUGCUAACGUCCGUCGUGAAGAGGGAAACAACCCAGACCGCCAGCUAAGGUCCCAAAGUCAUGGUUAAGUGGGAAACGAUGUGGGAAGGCCCAGACAGCCAGGAUGUUGGCUUAGAAGCAGCCAUCAUUUAAAGAAAGCGUAAUAGCUCACUGGUCGAGUCGGCCUGCGCGGAAGAUGUAACGGGGCUAAACCAUGCACCGAAGCUGCGGCAGCGACGCUUAUGCGUUGUUGGGUAGGGGAGCGUUCUGUAAGCCUGUGAAGGUGUGCUGUGAGGCAUGCUGGAGGUAUCAGAAGUGCGAAUGCUGACAUAAGUAACGAUAAAGCGGGUGAAAAGCCCGCUCGCCGGAAGACCAAGGGUUCCUGUCCAACGUUAAUCGGGGCAGGGUGAGUCGACCCCUAAGGCGAGGCCGAAAGGCGUAGUCGAUGGGAAACAGGUUAAUAUUCCUGUACUUGGUGUUACUGCGAAGGGGGGACGGAGAAGGCUAUGUUGGCCGGGCGACGGUUGUCCCGGUUUAAGCGUGUAGGCUGAUUUUCCAGGCAAAUCCGGAAAAUCAAGGCUGAGGCGUGAUGACGAGGCACUACGGUGCUGAAGCAACAAAUGCCCUGCUUCCAGGAAAAGCCUCUAAGCAUCAGGUAACAUCAAAUCGUACCCCAAACCGACACAGGUGGUCAGGUAGAGAAUACCAAGGCGCUUGAGAGAACUCGGGUGAAGGAACUAGGCAAAAUGGUGCCGUAACUUCGGGAGAAGGCACGCUGAUAUGUAGGUGAAGUCCCUCGCGGAUGGAGCUGAAAUCAGUCGAAGAUACCAGCUGGCUGCAACUGUUUAUUAAAAACACAGCACUGUGCAAACACGAAAGUGGACGUAUACGGUGUGACGCCUGCCCGGUGCCGGAAGGUUAAUUGAUGGGGUCAGCGCAAGCGAAGCUCUUGAUCGAAGCCCCGGUAAACGGCGGCCGUAACUAUAACGGUCCUAAGGUAGCGAAAUUCCUUGUCGGGUAAGUUCCGACCUGCACGAAUGGCGUAAUGAUGGCCAGGCUGUCUCCACCCGAGACUCAGUGAAAUUGAACUCGCUGUGAAGAUGCAGUGUACCCGCGGCAAGACGGAAAGACCCCGUGAACCUUUACUAUAGCUUGACACUGAACAUUGAGCCUUGAUGUGUAGGAUAGGUGGGAGGCUUUGAAGUGUGGACGCCAGUCUGCAUGGAGCCGGCCUUGAAAUACCACCCUUUAAUGUUUGAUGUUCUAACGUAGACCCCUAAUCGGGGUUGCGGACAGUGUCUGGUGGGUAGUUUGACUGGGGCGGUCUCCUCCUAAAGAGUAACGGAGGAGCACGAAGGUUGGCUAAUCCUGGUCGGACAUCAGGAGGUUAGUGCAAUGGCAUAAGCCAGCUUGACUGCGAGCGUGACGGCGCGAGCAGGUGCGAAAGCAGGUCAUAGUGAUCCGGUGGUUCUGAAUGGAAGGGCCAUCGCUCAACGGAUAAAAGGUACUCCGGGGAUAACAGGCUGAUACCGCCCAAGAGUUCAUAUCGACGGCGGUGUUUGGCACCUCGAUGUCGGCUCAUCACAUCCUGGGGCUGAAGUAGGUCCCAAGGGUAUGGCUGUUCGCCAUUUAAAGUGGUACGCGAGCUGGGUUUAGAACGUCGUGAGACAGUUCGGUCCCUAUCUGCCGUGGGCGCUGGAGAACUGAGGGGGGCUGCUCCUAGUACGAGAGGACCGGAGUGGACGCAUCACUGGUGUUCGGGUUGUCAUGCCAAUGGCACUGCCCGGUAGCUAAAUGCGGAAGAGAUAAGUGCUGAAAGCAUCUAAGCACGAAACUUGCCCCGAGAUGAGUUCUCCCUGACCCUUUAAGGGUCCUGAAGGAACGUUGAAGACGACGACGUUGAUAGGCCGGGUGUGUAAGCGCAGCGAUGCGUUGAGCUAACCGGUACUAAUGAACCGUGAGGCUUAACCUUACAACGCCGAAGGUGUUU